GACGAACGCUGGCGGCGUGCCUAAUACAUGCAAGUAGGACGCAGUUGCGAACGGGUGAGUAACGAGUAGGUAACGACCUAUUAGAGGGGGAUAACUAUUGGAAACGAUAGCUAAUACCGCAUACUAGUAGAUGGACCUGCGUUGUAUUAGCUAGUAGGUAGGGUAAUGUCCUACCUAGGCAACGAUACAUCGCCGAGUUUAGAGGGUGACCGGCCACACUGUGACUGUGACACGGCCCAUACUCCUACGGGAGGCAGCCGUAGGGAAUCUUCGGACAUGGGGCGAACCCUGACCGAGCAACGCCGCGUGAUUGAAGAAGGUUUUCGGAUCGUAAAGCUCUGUUGUUAAGGAAGCGGUACUUAACCAGAAAGGGACGGCUAACUACGUGCCAGCAGCCGCGGUAAUAC
rnacentral:rRNA from 1 species